UUUUUUCUUUGUUUUAUUUGGGGAGGAUUUUCAUAGAAAAUGCUUCGUAAAAGUUGAUUCGUAAAAAAACUGAUGGAUGAAAUGGAAUAUAAGAUUUCUGUCCAGAAUAAUGGACAAGUGUUUUGCCACAUUUUGAUGAAAAGAUGGCAUCCAUGAGUGUUGACCAACAGGGGGCGACGCCUCGUGUUUGCUACCUUGAUGCAGAAGGCUUUUUUGGCCAGCCAGCGUCGAGUGGCCCUCCUGUAGUACUCGGGCGGGAAGGUGUAGGUGAUGCCCAGCUGCUCGCACACAUUCUCAAAGGCGUCGUAGCGCUCCAGCCGCAGGUU